UUUCACACACUCAGCAACUGACCUAAUAAUCUGUCACAAACCUUGUAGCCAUUCAGAGUGGAUUUGAUUUACAUCAGGACUUAAAUUACCUGUCAGGAAGACUCAAUUUAAUCAUGGUUUUCUAUAUAAAAGUCCAUUCUUGUUGAAAAAGCAACUGAAACCAGAAUAAUCAACCCUGACAGGAAAAAUACAUUAAUGGGAGCAAGCAAUAAAAAAAUAAACUAGAGAGCUAAGUAAUGGCAAAUCGACGUAAGAGGAUUUACUUAAUUAAUCCUGUGUUGCAGAACUAUCCGAAUGGUAUCUGUCUACUCCAUAUGUAAUUAUUUAUUACUUACUGUUAACUUUUUAGAAAGAAAUAAAACAUCUUGUAACAAGGAAGACUACAUGAACUA